AUCUUCGCGCGUGGGCAAUGACGCAGCUAGCGAGGUUAUACCGAGACGCAUCAACUGCUUGUUGAAAACUAUAUGCAAUUCCUCGCAAGAAAAAACCUCUUUUGAUUCUGAUUUGCAAAUACAUGUAGGCUUUGUUUUUUAACUUCCGAGAUGGGCUUCUCGAGAAG
rnacentral:snRNA from 1 species